rnacentral:rRNA from 1 species
AAAAACAUGUCCUUUUGUUUUAAAUUUUAGGUCUAACCUGCCCAAUGAUUAAUUUUAAUGGCCGCGGUAUAUUAACUGUGCUAAGGUAGCAUAAUCAUUUGUCUUUUAAUUAAAGGCUAGAAUGAAUGGUUGGACGAAGUAUGAGCUUUCUUUAAUUUAAUUUAUGAAUUUAAUUUUUUAGUUAAAAAGCUAAAAUAGAUUUGAGGGACGAGAAGACCCUAUAGAUCUUUAUAUUUAAAAUUGUUAUUUAUUUUAGUAAUAUAAAUUAUUUUUGAUAGUUUAAAGUAUUUGGUUGGGGUGACUAUAGAAUAAAAUUAACUUCUAUUUAUUUUUUUCAUUAAUUUAUGUUUCUUUGAUCCAAUUUUUUGAUUAAAAGAUUAAGUUACCUUAGGGAUAACAGCGUAAUUUUUUCGGAGAGCUCAAAUCGAUGAAAGAGUUUGCGACCUCGAUGUUGGAUUAAAAUAAGUUUUAGGUGCAGGAGCUUAAUAACUAGGUCUGUUCGACCUUUAAUUUUUUACAUGAUCUGAGU